rnacentral:tRNA from 1 species
GCCCCUAUAGCUUAAUUGGAUAGAGCGCAGGCCUCCGGAGCCUGAAAUCUCCGUUCAACUCGGAGUAGGGGCAC